GAUCAUGGCUCAGAUUGAACGCUGGCGGCAUGCCUUACACAUGCAAGUCGAACGGCAGCACGGGAGCUUGCUCCUGGUGGCGAGUGGCGAACGGGUGAGUAAUACAUCGGAACGUACCCUGAAGUGGGGGAUAACGUAGCGAAAGUUACGCUAAUACCGCAUAUUCUGUGAGCAGGAAAGAGGGGGGAUCGCAAGACCUCUUGCUUUAGGAGCGGCCGAUGUCGGAUUAGCUAGUUGGUGAGGUAAAGGCUCACCAAGGCGACGAUCCGUAGCGGGGUCUGAGAGGAUGAUCCGCCACACUGGGACUGAGACACGGCCCAGACUCCUACGGGAGGCAGCAGUGGGGAAUUUUGGACAAUGGGCGCAAGCCUGAUCCAGCCAUGCCGCGUGAGUGAAGAAGGCCUUCGGGUUGUAAAGCUCUUUCGGUGGGGAAGAAAUUGCUUCGGUUAAUACCUGGAGUAGAUGACGGUACCCGCAUAAGAAGCACCGGCUAACUACGUG
rnacentral:rRNA from 1 species